rnacentral:lncRNA from 1 species
UCGCCUACACUAUUUUUAUUUACAAUCAUAUCUGAAGGAGGCCCGGUAUCCUUUGGGUCAGAUUUCUCAAUAUCAACAACCGGGGCAAUCUCCAACCCCGGGUUAAGGUCUUCCCCUUCAGAAUCGGGGUCGCCUUCUUCAGAUUCAAGGACUUCCAUGUCCUCCCCAUCCGGCUCGGAUUCUUCUUCAGAAGACACAGCUGACGAGCCUCCAACGCGACAAUCACCUCUAGGCAUAGGGAAAUCAUUUUCCCCAUAUAACACCGGCUCGCCAUCAGAGUCCACU